GUAUUGUAUUUAAGGAUUCUGUAAACCAGAUUUAAUCCAGAAAAUAAUAAUAAUUUUUCUUCUUGGAUUUGAUUUCUAAUCGCCUAACCAACUUCACGAAUUUAUCGUUUGCAACAUAAGUUAAUCACAAGAUCAGCAAUUUCAUGACUACUUUUCAUUUUUAUAUAAGAAUUUAUCGUUUGCAUCAU